rnacentral:SRP_RNA from 1 species
ACGCGGUUUCGCACUAAAUCCGCUAAAAAUCUGUGGGCUUCGGCCUGUUGGGUUGCUGGAUGUGUGUGCUGCCGCAGCCAUCGGAGCAGUCGAUACUGCCCUAUCCAACGCUUCGGCACGCAAAGUCGGCUGGCCGUAGGGCCGGACGUCUUGGGGUAAUAAUGAGCCGGGGAAAGCGCGAGAGUGGUGACACAGCAGCGAGGACUGGUCGCCGUGGUGAGUGGAAGGAUGACUGAGUCGAGCUCUCGGCAGUGACUGAUACAUACACACUCGAAACCAGU